UUAUUUAAAUCUUCUAAAUUGCAGAGACAGAGUCCCACUUUGUUACCCAGCAUGGUCUCAAACUCCUGGCCUCAAGCAAUCCUCCUGUCUUAGCCACCCAAAGUACUAGGAUUACAGAUUUGAGCCCGCACAUCUGGCCUCCAUUCUUCCUGGCAAAACAUACAAUGCUCUCAGCAGAUCUUAAUCCAACAGAUCUUAAUCGUUGCUGAUGGUGCUUAAUGCAUUAUGUGUGUUAGUUUCUUUUGUUGCAAGCACAGUUGGUAGCCUCAUGUUUCAGUACAGACCUGCAACAAUUAAUACAUGAGAUCCACUCCUGAGAAAGCACUUUCUACUUGUCUGGACUGAAUAUCGGUUUGGUUGGAAAGUUGAAGCCCUGACUACCCCAGAGCAUCUCUGAGAUUUUGUUCUGUUCUAUUGUUUCAGAGCAAGGAAAGAGGGCAGAGGGGCUUCUCCCAGGAGGAGCUGGAGACGUGCAUGAUUAACCAGGCCCCCGGCUGCCCCGACUACAGCAUUCUCUCCUUCAUGGGCGCGUUCCACGGGAGGACCAUGGGUUGCUUAGCGACCACGCACUC
rnacentral:sRNA from 1 species